CAUAACCAAAUAUAACAGCUGGAUUUAAAGUUGGAUUAUCAAUUAUUCUAACAUCUCCUCCACCUGGAGCCCAUGUAUCGUAUAAACCACCAACAUAAAUAGCUUUUAUAACUAAUAAUAAUGCACCAAACCCAAGUAUUACUAAAUGAAUACCUAGAAUCGUAGUAAUCUUAUUUUUAUCACGCCA
rnacentral:antisense_RNA from 11 species